GAUGAACGCUGGCGGCGUGCCUAACACAUGCAAGUCGAGCGAUUUACUUCGGUAAAGAGCGGCGGACGGGUGAGUAACGCGUGGGUAACCUGCCCUAUACACACGGAUAACAUACCGAAAGGUAUGCUAAUACGAGAUAAUAUAAGAGAUUCACAUGGAUUUCUUAUCAAAGCUGAGGCGGUAUAGGAUGGACCCGCGUCUGAUUAGCUAGUUGGUAAGGUAACGGCUUACCAAGGCGACGAUCAGUAGCCGACCUGAGAGGGUGAUCGGCCACAUUGGAACUGAGACACGGUCCAAACUCCUACGGGAGGCAGCAGUGGGGAAUAUUGCACAAUGGGCGAAAGCCUGAUGCAGCAACGCCGCGUGAGUGAUGAAGGCCUUCGGGUCGUAAAACUCUGUCCUCAAGGAAGAUAAUGACGGUACUUGAGGAGGAAGCCCCGGCUAACUACGUGCCAGCAGCCGCCGUAA
rnacentral:rRNA from 1 species